rnacentral:tRNA from 1 species
GUUGUGGCUCAGUGGUAGAGUGCUUGCCUCACACAUGAGAGACCCUGGGUUCAAUCCUCAGCACCACA